GACGAACCGUGCGAACGUUGUUCGGAAUCACUGGGCUUAAAGGGCGCGUAGGCGGCUGCGUAAGUCUCGGGUGAAAUCUUUCGGCUCAACCGGAAACGUGCCUGGGAUACUGCGCAGCUCGAGGGAGGUAGGGGCGGACGGAACUUCCGGUGGAGCGGUGAAAUGCGUUGAUAUCGGAAGGAACGCCGGUGGCGAAAGCGGUCCGCUGGACCUCUACUGACGCUGAGGCGCGAAAGCCAGGGGAGCAAACGGG
rnacentral:rRNA from 1 species